GCUGUUAGUUAAUGCUCUAUUUAUAUUUUUUGCCAACAGAACAAAUUUAUGUUUCCAGCAAAAAAGUUGGCCGGCCCCAGCAAAAAAAAAGAACAGUUCCAGCAAAAAAAGAUCGCCGCCGUGGUCACAGGUACUAAAUGGUUCCACUGUACAUCUCUGUAGUUAUUUGGCUGAAGGUGCGCAUUAGUGGUUAGCUGUGAUAAUACAAAUAGUAAACAUGUUAUACCAGGUAGCAGAACUUCACGAAAAUUUGCUGAAGGAGUUGCAUCAUCCUUGAUCAAAUAUUAUUUUUAUUAUUCCUUCUUGGUUUUAGACAAUAACAUUAGAGAAUCUAAAUCCUUUUACCGCGCAUCAGUACAUGUAAUAGAGCAACUCUUGGUGCAACUAGCUGCAGCAAAGACCAACUUGACUUGAUGGUAUUUUUGAUCUGUUCACCUACCCUCCCUCGCUCAAUUUUCUUGGGAAAAAACACCCGCCCAAUGAAGCCAUCUCCGUGUCGCAUACCUAUUGCCACAACCAACUAAGCUAGCCCAGUGUUUUUUGUGGAAAAGAUGGUUGUUCCUUCUAUUAAAUAGUCCCACCUCGCCCCUUUACACCCAAUCCUCUUAAUUUCCUUAUGCCUUUGAAUUUCCUAGGUGUCAACAAGCAGUCUUCGGAAUCAUCAAUAAGCCAACAGCGAGAAAUAAGUUCAAGAAUUGAGUUCCCUUAACAGGGAAAUAAGGAAGGGAAGAAACAAAUAGGGAACAAUCAGAUGAAGCAUCAAGGAAAAUGGAUUGAACAAUCAGAUGAAGCAUCAAGGAAAAUGGAUUGAACAAUCAGAUGAAGCAUCCAGCUCGAGGAGAAGCAUGGUCUGCAAGGAGACCAAUCAUCUUGAGGUGGUUCUUUCAGCUACUGCAUGUUCCAUUACGGAGAAGGGUACUUAGUCGAUCUUAGGAGCCAGACUCUGCUUUCCUUGCAGGGAGAAUUUCAAUAAAUGGUACUAUUACUCUCCCAACAAUUCUUUUAUCACUACAAAAUGUGUAGGAACCUUAUUUUUCUUAAGUGGCAUAAUGUGAUUUCUUAAGUGUUGUGUUGUAACACUUUAGAGUAAAAGAAUAAUUAUGUAUGAAGAAUAAUAUUACCGAGUCAGGCAGAAUUUGACCUUAGUUCUGACCAAAUUAAUCUUUAUUUGUUUGCCAGGUUGUGUGUCAAACAUCACUUCAUGUUGUAGUCCAUUUUUUCCUUUCAAAAGCCACAUUAUGAAAUUUGGCUUUAUAAGAAGUUUCACUUUAUUAUUAGUGGAGAACGGGAGAUAAGGAAAGGGAAGGGAAAAACAGUAAUUCUAGCAACUAGCCAUUGUUCCGUGGCAAAACACGGGUGUUUGUUCUAUUAUGUCCAUCGGAAAUCUUUACGGAGGAGUUGGGACUGAGUGAGUGACAUAGAUUUGCUUGAGGUCACAAAUUCUUUUCUGCUGUUACUUGCAUCUUACUUGAAUUUUUUUCUUCAAGUUCUUCCUGUUUUCCCAUAUCCUCUGCUCUAUAGAAGCUGCUACAUCAAAUUAAGUAAGUGCAUCCUUCUUUUUUGUCCAAGUUUGUUCUAUUCUAUUACUCAGAAGUCUGUACAAGACUGAGAGAGUGAAGCAUAUUUGCUUGAGAUUUGAAUACUUUUUUGAUGUCGGGUUUGUACGCUAUACAGUUUGAUUAAUGAAAACUGAUAAAAGUAGUGGCAAACACUUGAUUGAGUAAGCUACUGGAUUUUACCAGUAAUACACAGUAGUUUCUUGCAAUAUUAUCUGCAUGACAAGAAACACCCAUAUUUGAUUUUGCUCUGUGAUUGGUUCAAAUAUCACUUUUUGGCUAAAGCUGAUUGGAUACGAGUAGUAGUGCCAACAGUAAUAACUUUAAAU
rnacentral:lncRNA from 1 species